rnacentral:rRNA from 1 species
CCUACGGGUGGCUGCAGUGGGGAAUAUUGGACAAUGGGCGAAAGCCUGAUCAAGCAAUGCCGCGUGAGUGAUGAAGGCCUUAGGGUUGUAAAGCUCUUGUACCAGGGAUGAUAAUGACAGUACCUGGAGAAUAAGCUCCGGCUAACUCCGUGCCAGCAGCCGCGGUAAUACGGAGGGAGCUAGCGUUGUUCGGAAUUACUGGGCGUAAAGCGCACGUAGGCGGGUUUUCAAGUCAGGGGUGAAAGCCCGGAGCUCACCUCCGGAAUUGCCCUUGAAUCUGGAUGCCUAGAAUCUUGGAGAGGUCAGUGGAAUUCCGAGUGUAGAGGUGACAUUCGUAGAUAUUCGGAAGAACACCAGUGGCGAAGGCGACUGACUGGACAAGUAUUGCCGCUGAGGUGCGAAAGCGUGGGGCGCAAACAGGAUUAGAUACCCCAGUAGUC